GGCCAGGUAGCUCAGUUGGUACGAGCGUCCGACUGAAAAUCGGAAGGUCGACAGUUCGAUCCUGUCCCUGGCCACCA
rnacentral:tRNA from 1 species